CUAAGUCCUUUAGGAAAUACUAUAUCAAUGAAGAUUAUUUUUUAUGGACUUACGUGUUUCUAAAUAAAUGAUUUUAAACUAAAAUAAAAUUUGCAUUAUGAAUACAAAUAAAAACAUAUACACAAAACAAACACACACACAUUGCACAGUUUCUAAGAGUGAGAUUAACUAAGCCAGCCAUAACCAAAGUACAUUGAUUAGAAAUAUAGGCCAAUGCAGAUAGUAUAAUAAAUUCCUAUGGAUUUGAAAGAAACUGCCCACCAUCAUAUAAUAGGAAAGUCCUCUUUUCCCAAAAUUCACAAAAAUUCUACUUAUAAAUGCAGUCUCUGAAUUGUGUGAAUGCACACCAGUGACAUGUGCUGUGUUCACUUAUGCCACCUACCCACAUGUGUUAAAAUGGCAAAUUAAAACGGCUUUUCAGAUAUAGCACUGAUAUUGACAGAGUUGAAAGAAAUUGCUCUGCCAUGAAUUAAAAUGUAGUUUUGUGAAGACAUUUCACCCCACUCCCCACCACCACAGCGGGCAGAAAAAAGAAAUGGAAAAUCACACAGCAUCUAGGAAAAAUAGAUACUCUGAGAUUUCUGAAUAAUGUCCUUCAACUUUCAAAUAAAGAUGAAAGUAAGUCAAUUCCAAACUGUGAAUACAGGUCAUAGCUGAUGAAAUUCUUCAUAUUUGAGUAGAAAAUAAAAUUAAGUAUGAAAGUGGGUAGAGUUAGUAAAAAGAAAUCCUAAUUGGAAAAUGUUGUUUUGGAGUAAUACUUAGUAAAGAAAAAAGAGAAAAAUAAGGAAGGUGGAGAAUAAAGGUUGGAAGAGGAACACACAAAAAAACAGAAAGUUAAAACAGAACUAUCCCAGGAUAUUGAUAUCUUAUGAGAUGAGCCUCGUACCGUCAAAUGCCCGCUUAUCUAUGGAUAGGGAAGAAACAAUUUUUAUCAGCCCAGCCCAGCAAAACUUAAUACCAAAAUACCCUGCUUUAUAGAGCAUGUGAAAACAACAUAUAUUUUAAAAAAGCAUGAUGUUUGUAUGCUCACCUGUCAACUUCAGGUUCGCACAUGGCUGCUUCAGUACCCCGAAAAAAAAACCUCUGUUUCACACUACCUUGAAAAUUCUAUUUUCUGUUAUUACGUUUAGUGUUCACAGCUAAUGAAAAUGCUGUUCAACAACUCGAUUCGCUUGAAAUGAACUCUCAAUGAUUAAUGUACCUGGAAUAAAAAUAAAGCUACAUGGGUAUACCUCAAUGAAGUCAGAGGAACACACACAAUAUAAAUUUUAAGAAGUUGACUCUGAGGAUGCCAUUUUUUUUUUUUUUGAGCAUGUCGUUCUACAUACUAUUCAGUAUAUUGAGAUAUACUGGUAUUAUCCUGGAUAAAUAGACCAUUUAUACUCAGUCUCUGUAAAACUCUAGAUUCACUAUCGUGAAUUCCAGUGUCCACUAUGUAGUUUUUUGCUAAAACUGACAACAGCAUGACUCCGACAUGCUUUUAUCUAGUUCAUUUUAUAAGCACAUACAGAAGGACAGUUAAAUCUGAGCUGCAUAUCUGGAUUUUAAUGACAUGCCAGAAUCAAGCUUGCCUUGUAAUUUUCUAAAGCAAGAAAAAUUAUAAAGAAAUCAGAAAAAAAUGCUAUUAGUUCUGAUGGGGUGUAUGGGAGAAGAUCAAGAAGCAGAAAAUAUUUCAAAGAAGACAGAUUCCUUCCUUCUAAAGAGUAGAAAUCAACAAACCCUUAUUUAACAUCUUCUCAUCUCUGAAAUUUUAUGUUAUCAGAAAGGUAAAAAGCUGUCUAAGGGAAAGCAUUCAAGUCUACAUAGUUUGUUUAUAAAAUACAGGACUAUUAAGUAGUACCAAUUAUGGUAAGACACUGAAAUGUUUUUGCUUUGCUUCUUUCACAUGUGGGAUACAUGGAUAUCUGAUUAUGAAAGUGUGUGCUCCAUGCGUAUAUACGUUCUAUGUGCUGAAUUUCCAAUUCACAUCCUAUAGCAAUGAUUUUUUUAUAUGUAUAUAUGGUUCAUUACUCAUCCAUUUUAACAACAUAGAAUUUUGUGGUUAUAGCCUCUGCACAUUAGUAAUAAAAACCUCACAUGCAAAUAAUAUUAAAAUAUAAGAUAAUGUUAAAUAAUUAUAUCCUUUCUCUCACCAUAUAUUCCCAUAUGUAGCCCUAUAGCCUAGUACAGUCCUAGGUAUUCAAUCGUAUAUGUUUAAGAAAAAUAAGUGAAGGAGUAAAAUAAAAUUUGGAUUGCUUUCAAGACAUAUAAGUUUUGCAUAACUUAGAGUGACUAGAAUGAUAGUGUAUGUUUGGUACAUUCAACUCAGGAUUUAUUAUGCACUUUUUUUCAGAAUCCUUUUUACUUUAAGGGAUGAUUUUCUUUUAAUAAUUAUACUACAAAACCUGAGGUAUAUAACACUUCUCCAUCAAAAAUGGAAUUGGUACAAAAGGGGAAGAGGCAUUGAGAAAGUCCCAAGUCAUUGUAAAAGGACCUUCCCCAAUUGAAAAGCACUAAAUUACUGAAUAUGUACAUUUACAACUGUUUCCUUUGCCCUCAUUACAUUUUCUUGAAAUAAAACCAAAGUGGCCUCAAUUCACAAUAUAACUGAAUACUAAAACACUCAAUAUAGGAUAAAAUGUAUACCUAGCACAAAAUUUUUUAUUGCUUUUCAUAAUUGCUUUAAAUAUAUUCACGAUUGGGUAGAAAAAUGACUGCCUUAAAGGAUAUUCUUUUGUGAGUCAGAAAAAGUGAUUAUUUAUUAAUGAGAUGCAAAUCCUACAAAAAGUUAAUCAGAAAAAAUAUAAACUACAAUUAACCCUUGAACAAGAGCUUGAAAUGUGUGAAUCCACCUAUAUGUGGAUUUUUCUGUAAUAAUGCCCCAGUGUUAUAUACAUCAGUAGCUGGUUGAAUCUGUGAAUGCAGAACCUGGGAUACGGAAGACCAACUAUUAGUUAUACAAAGGUGUUUGACUGCAUGGAGGGUUGGAGCAACCAAGCCCUGCUUGUUCAAGACUCAAAUGUAGUAUAAUUUUUGCAAAUUAAACCAUAUUAAAAAUAUAAAAUUGUUCUUAAUUUGUUAGGAAUACUCAGUGACUCUUUGGUCUUCUUUGGCCACAGUGACUCCUUAUUCCCCACUUUUGAUGUUUACUCCAGCAUGAAGAUACAUCAAUUUAUGUAUCUAUGUCUUUUCCUCAUCUUUUUAGUCAUGCUCCCUUAGGGGCAGCAUGACUCUCUUGAUUGGUGAAUUUGGAAGGAGUACUUUGCAGUGUACAGCCAAGACUUUCAGGGGAAACCUAGUUAUAUAAAUACGUUAUCCUGGGGUUUGGAUUUAGUAAGCAUAAUUUCUGGUAUAUGUAAGCCAGUUUCUCUGUUAUCAGCUUUGCAAUAUUUCUGUGCACACCUGCAUUUUGGUUUGCUUUGUUUGUUUGAAGUAGUUUAGCAUGAAGCAGAAAAGAGAAUAAAUAAUGGACUCCUUAGCUACAACAAAAUGUUUUUUCAAAACUUAGAAAUUGAUUUUUAUUGUGUUGCAAAUGCAUAAAAUGAGAUCUACCCUUUUAACAAAUGUUUGGAUGUACAAUACAGUGUUGUUAACUUUAGGUACAUCCUAAAGGCCAUCUGUAUGUCUUCUUUGGAAAAACGUCUAUUUAGAUCUUUUGCCCAGUCUUUUGAUUAGGUUGUUUGUUAUAUCAAUGAUGAGUUGUAUGAAUUGUUUUUAUAUUUGGAUAGUAUCUUGUUGAAGAUUUUUGCAUUUGUGUUCAUCAGAGAUUUGGGCAUAUAGGUUUUGGGGGGUUUUUGUUUGUUUGUUUGUAGUGGUUUUGGCUUUGGUAUCAGGGUAAUUCUGUCCUCAUAAAAGUUAGAAAGUGUUUCCUACUUUUCAAUUAUUUGGGAGAUUUUGAAAAUCAGCAUUAAUUCUGUAUGUGUUUGAUAUAGUUCACCAGUGAAACCAUCUGAUUUGGGGCUUCCUUGUUGGGAGUAGGAGUUAUUAAAAACAGAGAUAAAGAAGCUUUUAUUUCAAUAUUUUAAUCAGAAUACUUUUACCCCAAAAAAUUAGCAAAAUGACUUUGAUGGGAUUUGUACAUAUUUUCACAUGUUCAUCAAACUUUUAUAAAAAUUCUUUCUUUGGUUUCAAGGGGCAUAUAUGUAUGAGUACACACACGUGCACACACACACACACACACACAUCUCUAGCUGUCUUAAUACUCCUCACUGGAUUGAUAUAGGUAAAUGUAGUUUACCUUUAUUCACCUUCUGCUUUUACAUAUCACCAAGCCACUAUCCCUUUAUCGUAAAGAGUAACUACAUGAUGACAUAUAUUCUCAUUGUAAUAUUGUCUGGAAGAACUGAUAGAAAGUCUUGCAAAGCAUACACAGCAAAUGCUGACAGAAUAUCUUUUAUAUUCCAGGCACAUGAUAUGCUUUCUAUAUAUAUCAGCUGAAUUAAUGAAUAAGUAAACUAAAAGCAUUUUUAAAACUAUGAGGUUUUAUGGACACUUACGUAUAAAAUGAAAGGAAUUCAUUUCAUUAAUAGUUUGAAAAACCUAAUAGUAAAGACAAUAGAAGGUGCUAUGCUAUUUUUUCAUUUUCAGUUUUGUUCCAAAAUUAUUCAAUACUAUGAUAUCUUCUAUUUUGAUGUUUAUAUAUUACUGAAUUUGAAUCUGGGGGAUGUUUAGUUAAGCUAAAAUCUUCAUGUCACUAGAAUUUUCCCCCAAAUCAGAAGAAUGAAGUAAGGUUCACAGCAAUGUUGCUCCAUAAUAGUUUUAUAUUUUUUGUUAAUUAAUUUCAACUGUUUAAAGUUUAUUGCUUUCCACUUGAAGAUUAGUAGUUUUACAAAUGGAAUUCUAUACUUGCAACUUUUUGGAUAUAUGCUACCUUAUUUGGUCUGUAGUGUGAUUAUGUAUUUAUUUAUUUGGCUAAAUAGAAAUCCUUCGUAAUAAUCAUUUAAUCCUCACUAUAAUCCUAUAAGACAGACACUGUUAAAAUCCCCAUUGUAUCUUAGAGAAAUAGAGGCACGUAAGAGAUUAAUAAGUUUCCAUACAUAACACAAUAAUAAAUUUUAAAGGAAGGUUAUGAAUCCAUGCAGUGUAGCUCUGGAGUCUGUGAUCUUAACAAAUUGGAAUACUGCCUCUCUAAAAGGCCUUUAUAAAUAAAUGGUCAUGAUCACGGGUGAAUGAUGAUUCCCAUCAUCUUCCUUGCCAGUCACUUUGUGGCCCCCUUUGCUACUACAUAGUAGAUAAUGAGGGCAUAUUUAUUUCUAGAUAAAGUGAGGAAUUUUAAUAUUUCAUCAUUCAUGUUAUUCAGGCUAUAUUUGUUUGUGUACUUUUUACUAGCUCAUUCACUAAGUACCUCCUAUGUGUUGGUUUCUGUGCUAUGCAUUGAGCAAAACCAAGAAGUUUCCUGAGUCUGAUUUGCUGAAGAGUGAAGAAGAAUUAAGGUACAUACAAAUAAUUAGUUAUUUGUUAUUAAAAGCUAAACAAAAUUAAAAAAAAACACGAUAUGUGAAGUUUCAUUCCAUAUGGUGCAGGAACAGCAACAUUUGUGAGAUGUGUCUGAUGUGGUGACCUUCAUUCUGAUUCUCUAUCAGUCAUGAAACACAUGUUAUGGAGCACUCACUCUCCAGUCACUGUGUCAGGUGUGGAAAUGAUACAACACAACAAAUGACAAAUAUAUCCGCUACUUCCAUUGAAUCUAAAUCAACCAACCAUCUCCAUUACCUAUCACCCUUUCAUUCUCCACUUCCCAGUGCUCUUUCUGACAUCCCUCAGGCAGGUACUAUUUCUACUUGCUUCAAUACAAACACAGUUGCCAUGCAAACACCUACACAUACACACACACAUUCAAAGUUUAUGAAUCACUCAUCAGAUAAUGCAAUUAAUUUGAUUGUGCUAGUAAGAAAUGUUCUAAUAGGAGAUCUUGGAUCCUCUCCUUAUUUCUAAAUAUCAUGCAUUUUAGCUAAAGGGAUGUUGUUUCACAUAAAGAUGAUUGGACCAGAAACCAAAAAAAAAAAAA
rnacentral:lncRNA from 1 species